CGCAGCAAAAAAUACGACAAGCAGUUUCAUAGUUCGCCUCUCCUGACCAAAGACAUCAAGCCAAUGGUGUUCGAUCCGCUUUGGCCUUGUUCGCCUGAGCCUCGGCCACCUUGGCCUUGAGCCGCGUCCGAAUUGCAAGGCCGGCAAAGAUACACGCGCCGACCCAACUGACGAACUGCAAUGAAUCGAACCCCGUCAGCAGCAACGCACNCACAAUCCCAGCGAAAGCAAUUUCAGGCGCGCGUCGCGGCCGAGCAGCGAUACGACAAACG
rnacentral:misc_RNA from 1 species